GCUAGCGGUGUGGACGAGGGCGUGGUAAGACAGAGGGGGCGGGCGGGUUCCGGAAUCAGGGGGGGUAAAGGGCGCGUAGGUGGCACUCCAAGUCUGUGGUGAAAGUUCGAUGCUCAACAUCGAGUCGGCUACGGAGACUGGAGAGGUCGAGCACUGUAGGGGCAGAUGGAAUUCCGGGUGUAGCGGUGGAAUGCGUAGAGAUCCGGAAGAACACCGGUGGCGAAGGCGGUCUGCUGGGCAGUAGCUGACACUGAGGCGCGACAGCGUGGGGAGCAAACAGGAUUAGAUACCCUAGUAGUC
rnacentral:rRNA from 1 species